GAAAUGCGAUAAGUAAUGUGAAUUGCAGAAUUCAGUGAAUCAUCGAAUCUUUGAACGCACAUUGCGCCCGCCAGUAUUCUGGCGGGCAUGUCUGUUCGAGCGUCAUUUCAACCAUCAAGCCCCGGGCUUGUGUUGGGGACCUGCGGCUGCCGCAGGCCCUGAAAAGCAGUGGCGGGCUCGCUGUCACACCGAGCGUAGUAGCAUACAUCUCGCUCUGGGCGUGCUGCGGGUUCCGGCCGUUAAACCACCUUCGUAACCCAAGGUUGACCUCGGAUCAGGUAGGAAUACCCGCUGAACUUAAGC
rnacentral:misc_RNA from 1 species